rnacentral:rRNA from 1 species
GGCAGGCCUAACACAUGCAAGUCGAGCGGGCAUCCUUGUGGUGUCAGCGGCAGACGGGUGAGUAACGCGUGGGAACGUGCCCUUCGGUUCGGAAUAACUCAGGGAAACUUGAGCUAAUACCGGAUACGUGCGAGAGCAGAAAGGUUUAUCUGCCGAAGGAUCGGCCCGCGUCUGAUUAGCUAGUUGGUGAGGUUAUGGCUCACCAAGGCGACGAUCAGUAGCUGGUCUGAGAGGAUGAUCAGCCACACUGGGACUGAGACACGGCCCAGACUCCUACGGGAGGCAGCAGUGGGGAAUAUUGGACAAUGGGGGCAACCCUGAUCCAGCCAUGCCGCGUGAGUGAUGACGGCCUUAGGGUUGUAAGCU